UAGCCUUUCUCUUCUUUUUCUAAGUUGAAGACUUCCCCUCCCGUAAGUGGAUGCCAUCACCUACAAGUCGGCAGCCACGACUGCUUCCACCGUCCAAGCUCAGUAGACCGCCGGUGGCUCCUCAGAUCGCGCGCGUGUUCAAUUUAGCGGCGGAUCUUGCGGGCUCUGCUCAACAUCGCGAAGGAUUACGCCCUGCCCUUCCUCUUCUCUUCUCAGGAAACCGCAACUGAGAGUGAAGGGAAAAGAGAAGGAAGUAUGGAGUGAGGAUUCAAGAGAAGAAUUCAUGGGAGAAAAAUGAGGGAAAGACAACGUUUACAUUGGUUGCUUUAGAUUUUCAUUGAAAGCUUUUAAUUUUGAACAAUAUAUUCUGGCAAAACAUUCUCCUUUUGUGUAGCUUUCUUACCUUCAAUAUUGGGUGUUUCUUGACAUGACAGUAUAAGGGCGAUGUGGUGGAUGGAAUUUUUGCGUACAUGUAGUCUCCAUUUUGGUUUGAAGGUAUUCAUAUAAAACUUGGUUACUAUCUCGGAUGAAGGAAAAGCCUCUGUUCAGUUGCAGUUCCUCUCCCUAAUGGUUAGAUUUGGUACCAUUAAAAGUCCCUCUUACUACUUGCUUGAAGGUAAAACAGUUCCCUCAAGGAUGCCAUGAGUUUGAAAGGUUGCUUGUGAUGAUUUUGUUGCUACUGGAUCAUUUGCAGUUGCAAGAGAGAAAGGACUUGUAAGUUUGGUGAAGGUCUACACUUGAUCAAAGUCAUUGAAGAAGAAGGUUGUGUUGAUCAAAGCCAUUGAAGUAGUUGAAGUAGUGCCGGAUUUGAAAGCUUAUUUGGAUGCAGCAAGCAUACUUAAGUAGUAUCAAUUUAGUAGUAUAUAUUUUCAUACUUAAGUAGUAUCAAUUAAGUAGUAUAUAUUUUCAUGACUUUUUU